UGCUUCCCAGGCGCUGUUCAGUUCCAGAACCUUCGAGGCCACUUGGAACAGUUUGCAUUCAACAAAGAAUGGAGUAUCACUAUCUUUUUGAUGAUUUGUAUGGUGAAAAAGCUGUUAUAAUAGUUCUGGAAGUAUGUAUGUUUUCUGAUGAUAAACCUUAUGGGUUAUAUAAGACAACACUGUUUGCUAGUGAAGAAGAAUAUGAUGAAUGCCAGUACAGAGUAUAGAUCCUUAAAUUCCAAAGAAACCAGUCAGAUCUGUGGUAUAAUUCUUGAUUUAGGAGAAGAACACUUUUGGAUACAAUGAGUGAAACGAUGGGGGUGCCUAGAAGAGAUCAGAACAGAGACUACGAAGAAAAUUGUAAAAAGAAGCAAACAAGUGAAUUUUCACAAGUGACACUUCCAUCAGGACUGAGACUCAUAACGAGAUUUAACCAGGUUAGUACUAGGCCUAGUUUAGAUGUAGUCCGUUUUCGCGAGUGACAGUGAAGACAUGGGGCCCUCUUAAUAAGCCUGAGUGUUAUUUUCGGUCAUAGUUUUCGUUUAUUAUAAACAUUGUUGAUUUUUCAUUUAUCCCUAGGUGUGAGUCGAACUUUAAGGGGGCUAA